AUGACUAGGGAUAACCUUAGGAAGAGACACAUCAUCAAACCCCUUGAUUGUGUUUACUGCUUGGAACAAGAGUCUUGUUCUCACCUAUUUGAAUGUAUAGUUGCUAAACAUCUCUGGGCCCACAUUGAGGAAUAUUUCUCUAGUCAGAUUGGCUCAUCCUUCGAAUCUGUCGCUAGAUUCUGGAUUGCUACCAAAAAGUGCUUAGUUUUAAACACUGUUAGCUCAACUGUCCUUUGGUGCCUCUGGAAAUAUAGAAAUGCUAUGAUUUUCAGUAACACCUCCUGGAUUUCCAUUCCGCAGGUCUUGAGGUUGAUCAGGAACAUGGUGAGGAACUGGGCGAUUCUCUCCUCCGGAUCGGACAAGGACAAGUUGAUGAGCUUCAUGGAAACCCUAACAAGAUCCCUCCAGAAACCGUUGGCGAUCACUUGUGGCUGA
rnacentral:rRNA from 1 species